rnacentral:rRNA from 1 species
GAUGAACGCUAGCUACAGGCUUAACACAUGCAAGUCGAGGGGAAACGAUAGAGAAAGCUUGCUUUUUCCAGGCGUCGACCGGCGCACGGGUGAGUAACGCGUAUCCAACCUGCCCAUCACUUGGGGAUAACCUUGCGAAAGUAAGACUAAUACCCAAUGAUAUCUCUAGAAGACAUCUGAAGGAGAUUAAAGAUUCAUUGGUGAUGGAUGGGGAUGCGUCUGAUUAGCUUGUUGGCGGGGUAACGGCCCACCAAGGCGACGAUCAGUAGGGGUUCUGAGAGGAAGGUCCCCCACAUUGGAACUGAGACACGGUCCAAACUCCUACGGGAGGCAGCAGUGAGGAAUAUUGGUCAAUGGACGAGAGUCUGAACCAGCCAAGUAGCGUGCAGGAUGACGGCCCUAUGGGUUGUAAACUGCUUUUAUAAGGGAAUAAAGUGAGUCUCGUGAGACUUUUUGCAUGUACCUUAUGAAUAAGGACCGGCUAAUUCCGUGCCAGCAGCCGCAGUAA